rnacentral:rRNA from 1 species
UAGGGAAUCUUCGGCAAUGGACGAAAGUCUGACCGAGCAACGCCGCGUGAGUGAAGAAGGUUUUCGGAUCGUAAAACUCUGUUGUUAGAGAAGAACAAGGACGUUAGUAACUGAACGUCCCCUGACGGUAUCUAACCAGAAAGCCACGGCUAACUACGUGCCAGCAGCCGCGGUAAGACGUAGGUGGCAAGCGUUGUCCGGAUUUAUUGGGCGUAAAGCGAGCGCAGGCGGUUUCUUAAGUCUGAUGUGAAAGCCCCCGGCUCAACCGGGGAGGGUCAUUGGAAACUGGGAGACUUGAGUGCAGAAGAGGAGAGUGGAAUUCCAUGUGUAGCGGUGAAAUGCGUAGAUAUAUGGAGGAACACUAGUGGCGAAGGCGGCUCUCUGGUCUGUAACUGACGCUGAGGCUCGAAAGCGUGGGGAGCAAACAGG